GGACUUGGCGGGCUGGUUGCGGUUGAUUUGGGCUAACACGGUGGCCAACGCGACUCCCACGGUCCCAGCCUCAGAGUGUACCCCAAGGAGGCAGAGGGGUGAAGCCCUCGGCUCCAGGACCAUCUCCUUGAAUUCCUGCAGCACAAGCCCAUAUGAGUGACACUCCUGCUGUGAAUCUUCUGUCUGUGGGCCCCCUCUGCUGUCAGUUGUUGAGCUGAAAGCCAUCCUCCAUCACCAUCAGGAGGCCAGGUACUGGGAAUUGGUUCAGCACCUUUGCUUUACCCUGCAGGCCUGACCCCAUGAGUAGGCUGGCAACAGCUUUGUGCCUUGUGACUGUCUUACCUUCUCCUGGUUACGUGCACCUCACCCUGUUGUCCCCACUCAGAGCCCUUCCCAGGUCGCCUGUGUAAGCAGUAAGCAGGGUGGCUCCUCAGCAUUAACUUCCCUUGCUCUAGUCAGGUAGCAGAUGGUUUCUUAAGGGAACACUGUUGUGGGGUAUUCACCAGGGAAGACGGCUCAGACAUGAAUUUAAGCCAAUAGGAAGUCUUUAUUAGCCAGCCAGUGACUACACUGGGAAUUUGGGAUCCCAGUGUAGCCCAGUCCUUUCUCAGGGGGAGCUUUUAAGUGCAAAAACAAUGUUCUGGGUUGAAAUACUUCAGUUAACAAGAACAGUUUACCAGAAGCAGAACUACAGAAGCUAAAAAGCAAUGUUAUUACUUUCAAGACUUUUCUAGAACUACAUGGACUUUGAUUGGAUUAGGCCUUUGUUUUAGUUAUAGCAGAUGGUCUCUCUCUACGUGCUGAGUUUUACAGUCUGAGUGGGACUUCUGUCAUGGAGUCAGUCGUGCUAAGGUUUGGGGCCAUGUACAAACACCCAAUCCAGAACCAAUGCAAAAAAGGAUGGUUAGUUAGGCUAAGGGUAGAGAUGGUGCAGACCAUGCAGCAUAGGCUAAACAGACUUCGUCUUAAAUGGGGGAAGUGGUGGGGAGACGAUAUGAGAAGGUCCCAGAGUGGCUCUGAGAGCAAACCUGCUGACCUCACUGUGUAGAGGCCAGGUGUUAAGUCGGUUGCCAAGAGGUCCUUGCUGAGAGUGUUAAGCAAAGAAGGAUAAGAAAUACAACACCCAUCUGGGCAGUGGUGGUGAGGCGAGUAAAUCCCUCUGAGUUCAAGGCCAGCCUGAUCUGAUCUACACAGUAAGUUCUAGGACAGCCAAGGCUACACAGAAAAACCUUACCCCCCCCAAAAAAAAAAAAGAAAUACAACAUGAUUCUGGAGUGGGAUUGGGGGCCUUUACUGAUAGAGAUUCAUAUUGUUUUGGUUUUGUUUCUGUUUUUGCUUUGACACACAUUCUAAAAGCCACUUUUGGCUCAGCACUUAAUAACACUUUCUGUUCUUGCAGAGGACUUGGUUUCAAUUCCCAGCACUCACAUGGUGGCUCACAACCAUCCAUAACUCCAGUUCCAGGUAUCCAAAGCCCUCUUCCAACUUCCACAGGCACUACUUGUACAAAAACAAAAACAGACAAACAAAACAUACUAUCAAAGGAGUGCCCCUGGGCAGAGCUAAUUUACAAACCAGGAAAGUUUUGUAUUACUUUGGUUCUUGAUAUUUAAGGAAAUCUGGGUUGAAACAGUAGCUGAGUCGUGCAGUGGUAGUGUUUAUCUAUACAUGUAAGUUACUAGGUUCGAUGCCUAGAAAAUGCAGAAACAGAAAAAAAAUCUGCCCACAAUGUCUGAGGAUGAUACUUGUGGCCACAUAAUAUACCUGAUGAGGAAUAGCCCUUGUAAAAAUAAUUUGGGCAAAUAAACUAUGGUAGUCUUCCACAAGCAAGGACAAGUAAAGUAAACCUUGCCAGGAUUAAUGUUGAACACCUUCAGUCCAGGCACUCAGGUCUCUGUGAGUUCGAGGCCAGGUCAGCCAAGACUGUACAGUGAGACCCUGUCUCCAAAAAACAAAAACAAACACUAACCUUGAAAGAGGAGACUUAUUGGCAGAAUUGCAACAUCAUACUGUACAAAAAUCUAAUUAUUAGCAAUUCAAAGGCAAAAAAAUAAAAACCCUAUGAAAUGUCCUUGAGAAAACCUAGAUAUUAGACUUAGUAAAUAGAGACUUUAAGCAACUACCUUAAAUGCAUUCAAAGAAAUAAAUGAAACCAUGAGCAGAGAUUAAAGGAACCAAGAGAAAAAUUGUUAAUGAAAAAAGACUAUGAGUAAAGAGGAACAUUUUUUUUAAAUGAACCUAGUAUAAAAUCUAAUACCAAAAAGCACAAUAAAAUGAAAUGAAAAUUCACUAGAGCAUUUCAACAGUGGUUGAGCAGGGAGGAGAAAGAAUGAGGAAAUUCCAAGUUCAGAUGGUACAUUGUCCACUCUGAGAAACAAGAGAAAAGUUCAAAAAGUGACCAGAGUUUAUUGGACCUGUAGGGCACCAUCAGGUACACGAG
rnacentral:lncRNA from 1 species